CUGCGAGUGAAGAGGGAAGAGCUCAUCAUUGGAAUCUGGCAGUGUUUCACUGUCCGAGUUGUAGAUGAGGAGUAGUCCGUCUGGACUGCAUGGCGUCCAAGUACAAUAGGCCGUCAGUGGGACAUCAUAGAGGGUGACAAUCCCGUCCUUGACGCCAAUGUGCAAGUCUAUUACGAUGGCUAUCUCAGAGAGUCGAGCAGUUUGGGAUUUGCUGCUUAAACAUGGGAGGUAGAUUCCUUCUAAAGCUAAAUACAGGCGAGAGACCGAUAGAGAACAAGUACCGCAAGGGAAAGAUGAAAUAGCACUCUGUGAAGGGAGUCAAAAGGCGUGAAAUUGUUGCGAGAGAAGCGAUUCAAGUCAGCGUAGCUAGGCCCAUCAAGCGUCUUCGCUUUGGACUAGCUUUGCCAGCGGUCUUGUCCCUUAAAGAGACUUGACUUGUAAUAUGUCCAGCCUGGCGUGCACAGGCAGCCCCUUCUGGGGGCCAGUGACAUGGCUGGUGGAAUGGCUUGCAAUCGACCCGUCUUGAAACACGGACCAAGGAGUCUAACAUGUAUGCGAGUAUAAGGGUGGCAAACCCGUAUGCGCAAUGAAAGUGAUUUUCGGUGAUUGAGAAUGGCCUGAUGACCAGACAAGCAAUAUAUGUCCCUCGUACGGCCAUUGCCCAAGUUCCGUGGUAGAUCCCACGAACAUGGAGUUGGAGCAUACAUGCUAGGACCCGAAAGAUGGUGAACUAUGCCUGGACAAAGCGAAGCCAAAGGAAACUCUGGUGGAGGCUUGUAGCGAUUCUGACGUGCAAAUCGAUCGUCUGAUCUGGGUAUAGGGGCGAAAGACUAAU
rnacentral:rRNA from 1 species